AAUGGGGGAUAACGUAGCGAAAGUUACGCUAAUACCGCAUAUGCCCUGAGGGGGAAAGUGGGGGAUCGCAAGACCUCACGUUUUCGGAGCGGCCGAUAUCAGAUUAGCUAGUUGGUGGGGUAAAGGCCYACCAAGGCGACGAUCUGUAGCUGGUCUGAGAGGACGACCAGCCACACUGGGACUGAGACACGGCCCAGACUCCUACGGGAGGCAGCAGUGGGGAAUUUUGGACAAUGGGGGCAACCCUGAUCCAGCCAUGCCGCGUGAGUGAAGAAGGCCUUCGGGUUGUAAAGCUCUUUCGGACAGAAAGAAAUCGCACAGGUUAAUACCUUGUGUGGAUGACGGUACUGUAAGAAGAAGCACCGGCUAACUACGUGCCAGCAGCCGCGGUAAUACGUAGGGUGCGAGCGUUAAUCGGAAUUACUGGGCGUAAAGCGUGCGCAGGCGGUUUAUUAAGACAGAUGUGAAAUCCCCGGGCUUAACCUGGGAACUGCAUUUGUGACUGGUAGGCUAGAGUGUGGCAGAGGGGGGUAGAAUUCCA
rnacentral:rRNA from 1 species